rnacentral:piRNA from 1 species
UGCAUGUGCAAGUGUCACCUACUGACUU